CAAACAAAAAUAAAUAUCCAGAUCUGCUAAGCCAUAUAUUUUCAGCAGAGUUUCCCAAAACUCAUAGCUUCUGCACAGUCUGCAGGUAACAAAUAUUGUAUUUAAAUAUCUAACUUCAAAGAGAAAUGACUGCAGAAGAAGCUCUGCUUUUCUUUUUAAUUAAAACUUUGAGAAUAUUACUGGAGUGGACCCCAAAAGUUAAAGAGCAGAAGGUAAAUAAAAUGUUAUGUGUCUUAAUGUCUUUGCAGUUGGACCUUACAAUUGCUCGAUCCCGUUAUCUUGGCUCCAAGAGCCAAGGACAUGCGGGAGAUGUUGUGCGUCCGUUUGGAGACGAAGCGGAUAGGCGCAGUGGUGGAGAUGACAAGGGUGUCCACGAAGUGAGAGACUUGCCAGGCUUUCGCGGAUCCUGCUCCUUGCCAGCAGCUGUGAAAAUGAACACUUCUUGCAGCAUGUCCUGGGGAGCAGCACCCAGCAAUCCUGGCUAGCACAGGAGAAGCGCAAGCCCCAGCCUGCAGGCCUUGAGGAUUAGACCCUGCAGCUUGAUAGCGCCUCCUGCUGUUGCACACCCUGCUCCUGAGAUGUCCCACAUUGCUCUAUCCCACUGUGAGCGCCAGCAGCUGCCCUUGUCCUCUGGUCACUCUCGUUCCCGCGGCUCCGCAUGGCCUCCACGCUUGCCCCAUCUCAUCUGUGGUGCGGCCGGCAGCGGGCUGCCCCACAUGCUGCUGCCCAGGUGCACGCCAAUGCCACUUUGCGUGGCCAGCAGUUGCAUCCCAGGACAGCCCCGAGAGGCAGAGUAUGAGCAGAGAUACUGGAAAAGCUUUGUCCCACACUAACAUUUGGAGGACAAGGAUAUUGUGUUUUAUGAUGUUGCGGAAACACACUCUCUGUUCCCUGAGUUUGGUUUUGCAGCAGACAAAUGACAUCCUCUCUUCUGGAUGAGAAGUCAGAGCUGAAAGGCUGGUUGGUAAUACGUGGCUGUUUCUUUUUGAAUGUGUGAUUUACAUUUUUUAAAAGUCUGAUGCAUCGAAGUAG
rnacentral:lncRNA from 1 species